rnacentral:lncRNA from 1 species
UGAUGAGAGGAAUGUAAUAGAAUAGAAUAAUUUGGACUGGGAUGGAAUAGAAUUGGAUGGGAUGGGAUGAGAUGAUUGUUGUUGUUUUUGCAGCGGUCCAACCCAGAGCAGGGCUGCCUGAGUCACAGAUUCAUGCAGGGCACCAUCCUGGCGCUGGUCAUCAUAAUGGCCUUCAGUGUCAUCUCCAUGUCCAUCCUCUAUGUGCUCAAUCUUCAACGCCAUGGAAGCAUAAGUGAUGUUGAGGGGUCUCGUUCUGCUCUGGGUUCGGCUCGUCAGGCUUCUUUUUCCCGUGUCAGAGUGACCACAUCCACUCUCUCCCCAGACUCCACGUCGCCAUCGUUGUCCAGUCACCCGCCCUGCUGUCCUUCAACAUCUGCCACAACCAAUCAAUCAGCCACUAUCGGUCUGUUGCCAGGCAACAACCAAUCCACUCCUGACUCCAGCACUGGCGUUCCCACCCAGGCCACUAUUAACAAGAAGGCAAAGUCUCGGCUGCUGGACAAAGACAGCCGGAACAAGAACCGUCUGAGUCACACGUCGUCUCCUCUGUUCCUCAGUAAAGGCAAACGGCCGCCUCAGCCUCCAGAGCUGAGCGGAGCAACCAAACACUUGCCUGGUGGACAACAGCCACCGUC